rnacentral:rRNA from 1 species
UACGAAGGGGGCUAGGGUUGUUCGGAAUUACUGGGCGGAAAGCGCACGUAGGCGGAUUGUUAAGUUAGGGGUGAAAUCCCAGGGCUCAACCCUGGAACUGCCUUUAAUACUGGCAAUCUCGAGUCCGAGAGAGGUGAGUGGAAUUCCGAGUGUAGAGGUGAAAUUCGUAGAUAUUCGGAGGAACCCCAGUGGCGAAGGCGGCUCACUGGCUCGGUACUGACGCUGAGGUGCGAAAGCGUGGUGAGCAAACAGG